rnacentral:lncRNA from 1 species
UUUAACCUACUGAGUAAAAAUAUAUCUCAACUUUUCAGUUUGGACCAUAUUUGGUCACCGAAAGCUCUACCGAACUGUAAUCUUUAGCAGAUAGCAGUCGGAUUUUAUUUUUCACCUUCCGGGUGUCAGAAUGACAUGAAACUUUAAAUCUAGCCUCACAAAAAUAAUUCUGACAUAUUCUCCGGUUUUCAUAAUUUUCUGACACUGUGCAUUUUCUGCUAAAAUAUCAGCCCCGUUCUUUACAGAAAAUUCUAAAUUUUCUGUUUUCACUCUAAUUUCCGCACAAGUCAUUUUCGACUUAUAUUUUACUCCUCGGAAUCCAAUAAAAAUUUUAUUUUACACUUUUUAUUUACAUCUAUUUUUAUAUUAAAAUUCCGGUAUAUUACAUUCUCCCCCUGUUAACCAAAAGUUUCGUCUGCGAAACUUAGACACCUCUCUGCUCAUCUGAAACUUAGACACCUCACCUAGAUGAAACAAAUUCCAAUAUACAAAAUUAUAUCAUUCUAAAAUUUUCUCAUUAUUACAAGUCCCGAAUGCACCCUUGAUAUUGUUCUCAAAUCGCUUCGUCUAGUAACUCCAUGCCUCCCACUUUGAAACACCUAUGGAGUUCUGCUCGACAAUUUGAACUCAUAGUGCAUUUUCUCACCUCAGUUGCCACGUUUCUUUAUCUCAACAUUUCAAAUUCCAAAGUGAUUCCAUUGCUCACCAUAUCUCACAACAUCUUACACAUAGAUAAACUUCCUCGAUUCACAUAUGAGUUUACCAGGUAGUAUCUGUUUUCUCAACCACAUUGUGCGUUAUACCGAUUUAUCACCACAAGUCUCCAUGAACACUUUGUUCAUGCCUCUAAUCUCAACUCAUUGUUAGCGCCUAACUCGGCGAUUCAAAAUAAACGAACGGUAGGACCGAGCCUUCGCUCCUAUGGUCACUACCCCAGAUCCACAACAUCUUACCUAACACUUGCAUUUCGAGAAUAAUUGGUUAAACCAUUUGUUCCAAUUAUCAUAUAUCGGUUUACAACCCACCGAUCCGACGUAGGCCUAUCGCCUAACUCGGUCACAAUAUCACACAACGUCUCUCGCUCGCAAGCGCAUACUCAAUCAUCAUAAGGCAAAGUCCUCAGUUGAGAGCUCGCACACUUAACCCAAUCAAGAGUAAUCCAAAUCCCAAACCACUUACAACUUUUAAGGGUGGGUUAAAUUCACACUCUCAGCGUACUAUCGAUCACACGGUCUAAUACGUGACACAUCACGUUACCUAUUCAGACUCGGACUACCGUCCUGACCAAAAUCUCUAUCCUAUCCACAAAUAUCGGGCCGCUGCCACACAGCUAACUGCGCCUAUCCAAAUGGCCCUAAGCCUCAUAGCGCACAUAUGGUCCAGGCACGGAUCGUCCCAAAGCACUAUCCUCAAUCGUCGUCAUUCACGAAACGUUCUAUCGAGCAAUCUACAUCACUAUCGGCUCCUAAGCACUUAGUGCGAGCCACCAGCCGCACGAGUGAUCCAUGGCACGCUUCACACCUAGCAACGCUCAAGUGCUACUGCCAACACACUCUCUCGACUGAGCCACAAUCCGUACUCUACAGACACCUAUACUCAAGCGUCAUACGCUAUCACAUUUCUUACUAAACACCACAUGCUAGGCAACUCAGCCUACGCCUACGAUGCACAAACACAAAUUUCCUCAACUUAUUUGAGGUACCGCUCGACUAACUCGCCAAAACUAGGCGAUCAUCUAACCACUCUACAACAACAACGCUAUUACCACUACGCGAUUCAUCGGAACAUCAUCCGACUUCUCAAACUUUAUGAGCGUUUUCUAACGUCCUAACUUGACUCUCGCUAUCAUUUUUAAUGCUUAAAGAACUAGUUCACCUGUUCCAAUUACACCUGAGCCCUAACCUCGGUUCACUAUAAGCC